rnacentral:rRNA from 1 species
AAUAUAUGGGAUAUAUUCCUGCCCAGUGACAAAAAGUUCAACGGCCGCGGUAUCCUAACCGUGCAAAGGUAGCAUAAUCACUUGCCUAUUAAUUGUAGGCUAGAAUGAACGGAUGAACGAAAUAAAGACUGUCUCAGUUAGUUACAUAAAAAUUAUUCUCUAUAUGAAGAAAUAUAGAUAAAUUCGAAGGACAAGAAGACCCUAUAGAGCUUUAUUUGUAUCAUAAAUUUAAACUAUGAAAAAAUUCGGUUGGGGCGACCAAGGGAAUUUACAUCACCCUAACAAUAACAGAUACAUAAAUCAAUCGAAUGACCCUUUAAAGAUCAUAAAAUCAAGCUACCUUAGGGAUAACAGGCUAAUCCUAUUCAAGAGUUCAUAUCCACAAUAGGGUUUGGCACCUCGAUGUUGGCUUAGGGUAUCUAUAUGGCGCAAAAGUUGUAUAAAGAUGGUUUGUUCAACCAAUAACUC